rnacentral:rRNA from 1 species
CAGUAGCCGCGGGAAUACAGAGGGUGCGAGCGUUAUUCGGAUUUACUGGGCGUAAAGCGUGCGUAGGCGGCUUCUUAAGUCGGAUGUGAAAUCCCUGAGCUUAACUUAGGAAUUGCAUUCGAUACUGGGAAGCUAGAGUAUGGGAGAGGAUGGUAGAAUUCCAGGUGUAGCGGUGAAAUGCGUAGAGAUCUGGAGGAAUACCGAUGGCGAAGGCAGCCAUCUGGCCUAAUACUGACGCUGAGGUACGAAAGCAUGGGGAGCAAACAGGAUUAGAUACCCCCGUAGUCCCUGUCUCUUAUAC